UGUCCUAUGGUGUAAUUGGCAACACGCAAGAUUCUGGCUCUUGAAUUUAAGGUUCGAGUCCUUAUAGGACAA
rfam:Porphyromonas sp. HMSC065F10 Porphyromonas_spHMPREF2890-1.0_Cont618.1, whole genome shotgun sequence.